rnacentral:rRNA from 1 species
AGGACGAACGCUGGCGGCGUGCUUAACACAUGCAAGUCGAACGGUGACGGGGGAGCUUGCUCCCCCUGAUCAGUGGCGAACGGGUGAGUAACACGUGAGUAACCUGCCCCAGACUCUGGGAUAACCUCGUGAAAACGGGGCUAAUACCGGAUACGAGACGCUCAGGCAUCUGAAGCGUUUGGAAAGAUUUAUCGGUCUGGGAUGGACUCGCGGCCUAUCAGCUUGUUGGUGAGGUAAUGGCUCACCAAGGCGACG